UACGUAGGGUGCAAGCGUUGUCCGGAAUUAUUGGGCGUAAAGAGCUCGUAGGCGGUCUGUCGCAUCGGAUGUGAAAACCCAGGGCUCAACCCUGGGCCUGCAUUCGAUACGGGCAGACUAGAGUUCGGUAGGGGAGACUGGAAUUCCUGGUGUAGCGGUGAAAUGCGCAGAUAUCAGGAGGAACACCGGUGGCGAAGGCGGGUCUCUGGGCCGAAACUGACGCUGAGGAGCGAAAGCGUGGGGAGCAAACAGG
rnacentral:rRNA from 1 species